GCUUACGGCCAUUCCUCUCUGAGAACGCCCGAUCUCGUCUGAUCUCGGAAGCUAAGCAGAGUCGGGCCUGGUUAGUACUUGGAUAGGCGACUAACUGGGAAUACCAGGUGCUGUAAGCU